UUAGAUCCUACAAAAUAUUGAAAAGUUACUGACGACUCACUACACCAAAGACCCAUUUCCACAACACAUGAAUAUAAUACUAUUGAAAAGUAUUAUAAUACCUUACGUUUGUGAAGCGGGAAAGUUUAAGUAAAAAUUCAGAAAAAAAAAAAAGAAAUGGCCUGGAGAGUGAAAAAAUUGAGCGCUCGCCCAAGUACUUAAUAUUUUUCGCUUUAACAUUUUCUUUACUAAAAUGCAAAUUAUCCAUGGGUUUCUGCCUCUACAAACACGCAACCUCCCAACUCCAUUCUCUGCCCAUCCUCCUGCCUGCUCUUCACCUCUAUGCUUUUCUUUGUUCUUCUGUUCUUUUUCUUUUCUUCCAUCGACGGUAAUGGUAAAUCUUGUCCUCUGACAUUCCAGGUGUCACGCAAGGCUUCUAUUUUUCCCCUUUGUCGUUGUGAGCUUAUUCCUAGAAGCUCUUCGUAUUGUCUAGCCCCUUUCUUGCACAUGGUACUAGCGAUUUUUAGAUUGAACUUUAGGGCUCCUUCAUUGUCCUUGGUACCAGUCCUGAGGGAGAAGGAUGGUAGAAAUGUGUCCCUUACUUCAUUUCAAGCACGAAUCUCAUUUGGGCUACUGUUGAUAUGACAUGAAUGGCAAGCUAACUAAGAUGCUUGAGAAAUGGUUGAGAAACUACCUUAUCUCCCUCCUCGAUGAACUAAGCUAGUCUCUAGACCUUGCUGCAACAUGGGGUAUUUGUUUGUGGUUGGCUACAAUGGCUCCACCUCCGUCAUUCUCUGUCAUAUUUUGGAGGGUGAAAAUGUGAUCACUGUCCACUGACUUCAGCCUAAUACAACUUGAGCUCUUACCUUAUAAUUUUGUGGCUAAUACAUUUGGAGUCCCUACCUUAUAAUUUUAUGCUAUGAGAGGGUCGAAUAUUUUGUUGUUACAUUUAUUCAAGUAUGUUGUUAAUUUACAUGAUUUUAUAUCAAAAUUUUCUAUUCAAGCCAACUAGACAGAGGAUAUCAAAGUCCUAAUUGCCUUGCAAGGCUUCUAUAUUGGUAUUUGAUAUUUGCAAAAUUUUAUUUUUUACUACUCUUGGCUAUUGGAUAGUGGGGUUUCAAUAGAGUUUAUGAAAAGAUUCUCAUUUGUUAAUGGUAAGAUAUUUUAGGUAUUGAGGUUUGGAAGAGCGCUAUAACUGACUAUAUGUUGUUUUCUUUGCAGGUAGAGGCAAGAUAACAAGUGGGAACAUGAUACUUGAAUCUUAGAGAUAAAUAUGUUACUUGUUUGUUUAGUUUCAUAAUGGGUUUUGCUUAAUUUGAAAAGAUCAUGUCCUUCUUCACUUUGGGUAUCUUAUUUGGUGUUGUGUAUGAAGUAUAUUAUUUAGAGAUGCUUAGCUUUUAUAGUUGAAAACCCUUCUAUCUUUUGCUCAGCUGAUGUGGAGCAUACUCACCUGGUGAAAGGAUUGGAUUAUGCUUUACUUAAUAAAAUUCGGAGUGAAAUCGACAAGAAGCCAGAUUCUGGUGAGGAAAGUGAUGGAAAACAACCUAGAUUCAUGUUGUUCUAUGACAAGCCAUCCAAUGAAGAUCAAUAGUUGUUGUUUCGCACUACGACUGCAAAGUCUAUUUAUCAAUGGAUAAUGAAGCCCCAAACUGUUAUCAAGUCAAAUGAAAUGUUCAUUCCCGGUAGAAUGGCUUUUAUUUUAAACAUGGCAAAUGGGUAUUCUCAUGACAUUCCGACUACGGUGCAUAGGAGUAGAGCUGAUUGUCCACAGCCUGAGGUUUAAAGUUUUUGAACCCCUGUGCAAUCUUAUUUUCGAUAAUGUACAUCUUAUUCAAAACUUCAUGUAAUUGUCAUUGGGCAGGAAAUGGAAACUGUCUGUGUAGAUGGUUCUGUGCUUGAUGGAAUUUCUAAAAUCAUGUCAUAUUUACGUCUUGGAUCUUCUGGGAAGGUUCUCAAAAAGAAAAAGAAGGAUAGAGAUGUAAAAGGAAAUAAUUGCGAGCAACUUGUAGCUUGAACUUUGUGGAUAUUGCCAAGCAUGUCAUUAUUAGUUUAUUUCAUUUCAUAAAUAGUAUUGAGAUUUUCUUUGUUUGAGGUAAAAUAUAAUCUAUAAGAACACCAAAAUUUCUAAGUGUUAUUAUAAUAUAUCCUGGAACCUCUGUAAAUAUAUACUGUCCCAGUAGUCAGAUUUGGUAGAACUUAAAAAAGUCUUUUCAGGGAACAAAGGUACAAUUAUAUCUAGAUGAGGAAUUAUUUGUCGAUUUAUAUCUUCUUGAUGCUAAA